rnacentral:rRNA from 1 species
CUCAGGAUGAACGCUAAGCGGCAGGCUUAACACAUGCAAGUCGAGGGCAGCAUAGAAGUAGUUACACUUUGAUGGCGACCGGCGCACGGGUGCGUAACGCGUAUGCAACCUACCGUUAAACAGGGGGAUAAUUCGGAGAAAUCUGGUCUAAUACCCCAUAAUAUCGGGACAGGCAUCUGUUUCGGUUGAAAACUCCGGUGGUUUAAGAUGGGCAUGCGUUGUAUUAGAUUGUUGGUGAGGUAACGGCUCACCAAGUCUACGAUACAUAGGGGGACUGAGAGGUUUACCCCCCACACUGGUACUGAGACACGGACCAGACUCCUACGGGAGGCAGCAGUGAGGAAUAUUGGUCAAUGGGCGCAAGCCUGAACCAGCCAUGCCGCGUGCAGGAAGACGGCUCUAUGAGUUGUAAACUGCUUUUAUACGAGAUUAAACGCAGGUACGUGUACCUGUUUGAACGUAUCGUAUGAAUAAGGACCGGCUAACUCCGUGCCAGCCGCAGC